GAUGAAGAACGCAGCGAAAUGCGAUAAGUAAUGCGAAUUGCAGAAUUUCCGUGAGUCAUCGAAUCUUUGAACGCACAUUGCGCCCGCCAGUAUUCUGGCGGGCAUGCCUGUUCGAGCGUCAUUUCAACCCUCAGGCCCCCAGUGCCUGGUGUUGGGGAUCGGCCCAGCCUUCCUGUAAGGCCGCCGGCCCCGAAAUCUAGUGGCGGUCUCGCUGUAGUCCUCCUCUGCGUAGUAGCACAACCUCGCAGUUGGAACGCGGCGGUGGCCAUGCCGUUAAACACCCCACUUCUGAAAGUUGACCUCGGAUCAGGUAGGAAUACCCGCUGAACUUAAGCAUAUCAAUAAGCGGAGGA
rnacentral:misc_RNA from 1 species